UACAGAGGGUGCAAGCGUUGUUCGGAAUUAUUGGGCGUAAAGCGCGUGUAGGCGGCUUUGCAAGUCGGGUGUGAAAUCCCUCAGCUCAACUGAGGAAGUGCGCCCGAAACUGCAGAGCUUGAGUACCGGAGAGGAUGGCGGAAUUCCCCAAGUAGAGGUGAAAUUCGUAGAUAUGGGGAGGAACACCGGUGGCGAAGGCGGCCAUCUGGACGGAUACUGACGCUGAGACGCGAAAGCGUGGGAGCAAACAGG
rnacentral:rRNA from 1 species